GGUUCUAAUGUCGUCUUUCCAGUAGAAGUUGAGAGAAUCAGGGGCAAUUAUACUCGGGAAAGCAAGCUUGAGUGAGUGGGCUUUUUUCCGAAGCUCCACUGCACCCAGUGGUUGGAAUGCCAGAACUAAACAAGCAAUUAAUCCAUAUGUAGCAACCCACGAUCCAUGUGGUUCAAGCACUGGAUCAGCUAUAGCAGUUGCAACAAGCAUGGUAACCGUAUCACUGGGUACAGAAACAGAUGGGUCAAUCCUAUGUCCUUCAUGUGCUAACUCAGUUGUUGGGAUUUAAUGAUUUUACUAACAGUUUUUGUCCCUCUUGACAGACCAAUAUGUAGGACUGUAACUGAUGUUGUUUAUGUCCUUGAUGCCAUUGUGGGUUUUGAUAAAAAUGAUGAAGUUGCAACAAGAAAAGCUUCAAAGUAUAUCCCCCAUGGUGGUUAUUGAAGCACCUAAAAUCUGGUGGUCUUAAAGGAAAGACGUUAGGGA